rnacentral:rRNA from 1 species
UACGUAGGGGGCGAGCGUUGUCCGGAGUUACUGGGCGUAAAGCGCUUGUAGGCGGUCCACCAAGUUUGGGGUGACAGUUGCCGACUUAAUCGGCAAAGUGCCUCAAAGACUGGCGGACUUGAGGGCCACAGAGGGACAUGGAACUCCAGGUGUAGUGGUGAAAUGCGUAGAUAUCUGGAAGAACACCAAAGGCGAAGGCAGUGUCCUGGGUGGUCGCUGACGCUGAGGAGCGAAAGUGUGGGGAGCGAACAGG